rnacentral:rRNA from 1 species
UCCUGGCUGUAAACGCUGCAGACUUGGUGUUGGGAAUCCUACGUGGAUGCCCAGUGCCGUAGAGAAGUUGUUAAGUCUGCCGCUUGGGGAGUACGGUCGCAAGACUGAAACUUAAAGGAAUUGGCGGGAGAGCACAGCAACGGGAGGAGCGUGCGGUUUAAUUGGAUCCAACGCCGGAAAACUCACCAGGAGCGACUGUUACAUGAAGGCCAAGCUGAUGACUUUGCCUGAUUUUCAGAGAGGUGGUGCAUGGCCGCCGUCAGUUCGUACCGUAAGGCGUUCUGUUAAGUCAGAUAACGAACGAGACCCUCACCCUUUAUUGCCACCCAUUACCCCGGUAGUGGAGCACAUUGAGGGG